UCGAAUCAUAUAGUUAACACUUUUACUAGUUUUACAUAGGCAGGGACGUGUAAACAUAAGCCUUAGCAAAUCAACUUUACUUUCAAACUUAAUAAGAUUAAUUCAGUGAACCUAGACGCAUAUAGUAUAAUCGGUGAGGAAUCAGGAGAAGAUCGUGUAUAAAACAGUAGUCCCCAUUAACUCCAAUAAUUAGAUCUCAAAAGGUGGAAUAGACUAUUUUAAUUGGGAAACACCAUUAACCCUCCCAGUAUUGAGCUUCUCUCUCUUGACUUUUCCAAGUGACAUCAUAGUAUCAUACCCUAUAAAGUCUCAUCCACUAAACCAAGGCCAUCAUUAUCGGGGAUCUUAAGUUGAUUUUUAAAGUAUUUAAGACUUAAAAAAAAAAAACAAUUAACUUAAGCAAUGUAUCUUAAUUAAGGGACACAAGAUACGCCUCUUAGAAACACGCUUCGCGUUGAGAGAAAAAAAAAACAGUUUCAAGUCACAAAGAAAACCGUUUGUUGCUCUCCUCGACGACGAAGCAAAUCGUCGGUGGCUCUCUUCGACGAAGCAAAUCAUCGACUUGCCCGGAGUUCCAGACGACGCCGUCCGGUUUGAGAUGUGACUGCUGCGAGAUCACCGGCGUGGAUGCCAAGAUGAAAGGUUCUCAUUACCCCUCUUCCCACCACCACCACCUACGAAGAAGAAAAGAAGAUGUAGUAAGGGUUUGGUGAUUCGUGCGUCUUUGUUUGGCGUUGGAGCACCUGAGGCUUUGGUAAUAGAUUUGAAUGAAUUGAUGUUUUGGUAAUUCCAGAAAGUAGCAGCGUUAAUGUUAUAGCGUUAAUGUUAAAGUAGCAGCGUCAUGUUGUGAUUUAUGAAUAAUGGUCCUACAUUUUCAGGUUCACCAUGGCUUCUAUAGUGCUUACUGUAGAUCCUAAAAUCUACACUAAGUAUUUGAUAGUGUUUGAGAUAUAAAA